AACGAACGCUGGCGGCAUGCCUAACACAUGCAAGUCGAACGAAGCCUUCGGGCUUAGUGGCGCACGGGUGCGUAACGCGUGGGAAUCUGCCCUUGGGUUCGGAAUAACAGUUAGAAAUGACUGCUAAUACCGGAUGAUGUCUUCGGACCAAAGAUUUAUCGCCCAAGGAUGAGCCCGCGUAGGAUUAGGUAGUUGGUGGGGUAAUGGCCCACCAAGCCGACGAUCCUUAGCUGGUCUGAGAGGAUGAUCAGCCACACUGGGACUGAGACACGGCCCAGACUCCUACGGGUGGCAGCAACAGGGAAUCGUGCGCAAUGGACGAAAGUCUGACGCCGCAAUGCCGCGUGGAGGAUUAAGGCCUUAGGGUCGUAAACUCCUUUUGCCAUGGGGGAGAUACCAUGGAGAAUAAGUGACUGCUAACUCUGUGCCAGCCGCCGCUGUAA
rnacentral:rRNA from 1 species